UGGGGAAUCUUGGACAAUGGAGGGAACUCUGACCCAGCCAUGCCGCGUGCAGGAUGAAGGCGUUAUGCGUUGUAAACUGCUUUUAUAUAGGAAGAAAUAGUCCUUGCGAGGAAAGUUGACGGUACUAUAUGAAUAAGCACCGGCUAACUCCGUGCCAGCAGCCGCGGUAAUACGGAGGGUGCAAGCGUUGUCCGGAUUUAUUGGGUUUAAAGGGUGCGUAGGCGGUUUAUUAAGUCAGUGGUGAAAGACGGUCGCUCAACGAUUGCAGUGCCAUUGAUACUGGUAGACUUGAGUAUGAUUGAGGUAGCUGGAAUGGAUAGUGUAGCGGUGAAAUGCAUAGAUAUUAUCCAGAACACCAAUUGCGUAGGCAAGUUACUAAGUCAUAACUGACGCUGAGGCACGAAAGUGUGGGUAUCAAACAGGAUUAGAUACCCACGUAGUCCCUGAGCGGGCUGGCAAGGCGCAU
rnacentral:rRNA from 1 species